rnacentral:tRNA from 1 species
GAGCCCGUAGCGCAGGUGGCCGUCGCGCCUCCAUUGCAUGGAGGAGGACGCUGGUUCGACUCCAGCCGGGCUCC